rnacentral:rRNA from 1 species
UGGGGAAUAUUGCACAAUGGGCGGAAGCCUGAUGCAGCGACGCCGCGUGGGGGAUGAAGGCCUUCGGGUUGUAAACUCCUUUCGACAGGGACGAAGCUUUUGUGACGGUACCUGUAUAAGAAGCACCGGCUAACUACGUGCGAGCAGCCGCGGUAAUACGUAGGGUGCGAGCGUUGUCCGGAAUUACUGGGCGUAAAGAGCUCGUAGGUGGUUUGUCGCGUCGUCUGUGAAAUUCCGGGGCUUAACUCCGGGCGUGCAGGCGAUACGGGCUGACUUGAGUGCUGUAGGGGAGACUGGAAUUCCUGGUGUAGCGGUGAAAUGCGCAGAUAUCAGGAGGAACACCGAUGGCGAAGGCAGGUCUCUUGGCAAUAACUGACGCUGAGGAGCGAAAGCAUGGGUAGCGAACAGG